GCCUGAUUAGCUCAGUCGGUAGAGCGUUGGACUUUUAAUCCAACGGUCAGGGGUUCAAGUCCCCUAUCAGGCU
rnacentral:tRNA from 1 species